ACGGCCGGCCAUACCACCCCAAAUGCACCAGAUCUUGUCUGAUCUUGGGAGCCAAACAGGGUCAGGCCUGGUUAGUACUUAGGUGGGAGAAAACCCUGUCCUGGCCAGA
rnacentral:rRNA from 1 species